rnacentral:misc_RNA from 1 species
GCACCUACCGAUUGAAUGGUUCGGUGAAAAUCUCGGACUGCGGCUUGGAUGCCUUCGGGCAACCAAGCUGUGGAAAGUUGUUUAAACCUCAUCAUUUAGAGGAAGGUGAAGUCGUAACAAGGUUUCCGUAGGUGAACCUGCAGAAGGAUCAAGUUUGAUCAACUUCCCAAGAAAUAUAUACUGUUGCCAAUAUUAAUACUUCUCAGUCCGAAAAUCUCACUAAACCAUUCAAUCGGUAGUAGCGAGAUGCUCGGAUCGGGCCCAGCUCGUGCGAAAGCAUGUGCCGGGACAGAGAAGAAGUUCAAGCUUGAUCAUUUAGAGGAAGUAAAAGUCGUAACAAGGUUUUCGUAGGUGAACCUGCAGAAGGAUCA